AUGUCAAGUGGACAUUCUCUUGUCAACUCUUUAAAUCUCUCACAUGCUUCAUAGAGUGUUUCACUAUUUUGUUGCCUAAAUCUUUGGACUUCAGCCCUCAACUU